rnacentral:misc_RNA from 1 species
UAAUAUCAUUAAUCAUCAGGUAUAGAUGUUACUUGUUUUAUUUUCCAUUAGUUUCUCAUAUUUGUCUUUUCUUUCACUUUAUAUGCUACUUCCUAUUUAAUGUGUGAGAUUGUGUUCCAUGGAUUGAUUCCUCCUGGUAAUGACUGCUAUCAUGUUGUACUUAGCUGCUUGUGUUUUUGUCAAGUAUGAUAAAAUAUGCUUCAUUUACUAAUCUUGCAUUUAUAUAUUAAUUUUGAUAUUGAAUGUUCCAAGUCCUUGUGUGACAUCUUCACGUGUUCAAGCUGUGUCUGUGUCCUUUUGGCUUCAGCUGUUGAUCACAGCAUCUCUUGUUUGAAAACUUUCCUUGUAGGCACAUGUUGAGCUAGACGGUUGGAAAUAACUGGUUCAGGUGGAAUGGGAAUUUAUUUUAUUUUAUAAUAGGAAAUUCACAAUCUGAACAUGCAAUUUCUUACUCAUGGUAAUUGUUUAGCAUGUGUGGACCAUUUGGCUCAUGAGAUUUUGUUCUAACUGAAAUAACACUAGUCUAUCUGCUGGAGGAAAGAACCCUAGCCAUCCUGAUGAUGUAUUCUUGCUGCAUCAUGGCAUUUAUUUUAGGUACCUUUUUUAAAUCAAUUUAGUUAAGACUGUGCAUGAUACCAUCUAUUAUCAAGUCUUCAUAUGAAUAAGUUGUUGAUAUGGAGACAGUUGAAGAGAUUGGAGCUGAAGUUGAAGCAGUUUGCAGAAGUGGAAACUUUUCUAAUGAGAGAG